CCAGGUUCUUGUGAUAUCAUAUAAUGGCAAUUGUGAUGUGUGUAACAGUACAGAAGGAUCGUGUUAUAGAAAGACAGAUAUUUGCAUAUUUAAUGGCGAUUGUUAUCACGAAGAUAGUGAUGAAUGCCAGACAGACGUCUAUCAAGUGGACAAUACGGGUGUUAUAAUCGGUGCUGUGGUUGGGUGUGUGGUGGCCAUCGCUGUCAUCGCCACUGUCGCCAUUCUAUACAAAAAAAAGAGCGCAAUAACGAGAGUUCACUCUCUGAAAGAUUUGAAGACUUCCGAAGAAACGUCUGCCACUCUUACAAAAGUCCGCUCCCUUAGCGGCGAGCAAAGUACCCUAGGCAUUGGUACAACUACUACGGAUGAAAAUACAGGUGCACUGUUAACACCGAUUGAGGCCUAUGAAAUGUCGUUGAUAUAAUUAAGUCAGCCACAAUGCACAAUUUCCACGUCACGAGAAAUCGAACAUUAUAAUACUAGCACACAGCCUACAGUAUAUCUGGAUUGAUGCUCGCCCAAUUUUAUAUUUUAUAGUUAUUAUAUAUACUGUAUUUAUACUAGUAAUAAG